rnacentral:rRNA from 1 species
AUUGAACGCUGGCGGCAGGCCUAACACAUGCAAGUCGAGCGGAGCGGCGGACGGGUGAGUAAUGCCUAGGAAUCUGCCUGGUAGUGGGGGAUAACGUCCGGAAACGGGCGCUAAUACCGCAUACUCUCAGAUGAGCCUAGGUCGGAUUAGCUAGUUGGUGGGGUAAAGGCCUACCAAGGCGACGAUCCGUAACUGGUCUGAGUGGAUGAUCAGUCAAACGGGAACUGAGACACGGUCCAAACUCCUACGGUAGGCAGAAGUGGGGAAUAUUGGACAAUGGGCGAAAGCCUGAUGCAGACCUUCCGCGUGUGUGAAGAAGGGCGUCGGAUUGUAAAGCACUGUAAGUGGGGAGGCGUGACCAACAGAAUAAGCACCGGCUAACUUCGUGCCAGCAGCCGCGGUAAUAC